rnacentral:lncRNA from 1 species
AAGCAUGGGUUUUUGCUUCACACAUGUAACAAUCUCAUCCAUAUGAUAUAUGCAUAAUAAUAUAACAUUUAAAUAUACAAUAAAAUAUAUAAAAAAUAAAAAGAGUAAAUAAAUAAAUAAAUAGAAAAUAGACAAGCAAAUAAAGAACACGCAACCCUAAAAUCAAAGGUUAGGACGAGCUCUCUUUAAGGAAACUAUAAGACAUCCCCAACAUAGUCGUCAGUUGUCGCGAAUGGAAAA